UCCUAGUGAUGAGAACCCUGUCCAGUUCUGCUACUGAACACAAGUGACGACAGUGGUUUUUCUGAAGA